AAAGAAACCAUUCUCGAAGAUUUUUACCACCACUUUUACAGCAAAUUAUGAAUGGAAACUGAAUUGUUAAAGAAGAUGUUACAGAGGAGCAUACUACUUCCACAAACCUGAUUUGAUUGUCACUAACUUUCAAAUUGAAAGGGAUCUACUACAACUGCUCAUGAAUUUCGAGAUUUUACAGCUAAUAGAGGAACAAAUUUUAUCUGCUUCCACUUAGCCAAACAGCAUGGAAAUAUGCUAUUGUAAUGAGUAGAAGAUAUUUGUCAUUUAGAGUAUCAUGCAACAGCUAAUUAUC